CGUGUAGGCGGGAAUACAAGUCAGAUGUGAAAUACUGCGGCUCAACUGCAGAACGGCAUCUGAAACUGUAUUUCUUGAGUACUGGAGAGGAAAGCGGAAUUCCUAGUGUAGCGGUGAAAUGCGUAGAUAUUAGGAGGAACACCGGUGGCGAAGGCGGCUUUCUGGACAGUAACUGACGCUGAGACGCGAAAGCGUGGGGAGCGAACAGGAUUAGAUACCCUGGUAGUCC
rnacentral:rRNA from 1 species